rnacentral:rRNA from 1 species
AACGAACGCUGGCGGCAUGCCUAACACAUGCAAGUCGAACGAGACCUUCGGGUCUAGUGGCGCACGGGUGCGUAACGCGUGGGAACCUGCCCUUAGGUUCGGAAUAACUCCCCGAAAGGGGUGCUAAUACCGGAUAAUGUCUUCGGACCAAAGAUUUAUCGCCUUUGGAUGGGCCCGCGUUGGUUUAGCUAGUUGGUAGGGUAAAAGCCUACCAAGGCGACGAUCCAUAGCUGGUCUGAGAGGAUGAUCAGCCACACUGGGACUGAGACACGGCCCAGACUCCUACGGGAGGCAGCAGUGGGGAAUAUUGGACAAUGGGCGAAAGCCUGAUCCAGCAAUGCCGCGUGAGUGAUGAAGGCGUUAGGGUUGUAAAGCUCUUUUACCCGGGAUGAUAAUGACAGUACCGGGAGAAUAAGCUCCGGCUAACUCCGUG